CGGGGGAUAACAGUUAGAAAUGACUGCUAAUACCGCAUAAGCGCACGGAGCCGCAUGGCGCAGUGUGAAAAACUCCGGUGGUAUGGGAUGGAUCCGCGUCUGAUUAGCUAGUUGGCGGGGUAACGGCCCACCAAGGCAGCGAUCAGUAGCCGACCUGAGAGGGUGGCCGGCCACAUUGGGACUGAGACACGGCCCAAACUCCUACGGGAGGCAGUAGUGGGGAAUAUUGCACAAUGGGGGAACCCUGAUCCAGCGACGCCGCGUGAGUGAAGAAGUAUUUCGGUAUGUAAAGCUCUAUCAGCAGGGAAGAAAGAAAUGACGGUACCUGACUAAGAAGCCCCGGCUAACUACGUGCCAGCAGCCGCGGUAAUACGUAGGGGGCAAGCGUUAUCCGGAUUUACUGGGUGUAAAGGGAGCGUAGACGGCGAUGCAAGUCUGAAGUGAAAGGCGGGGGCCCAACCCCCGGACUGCUUUGGGAACUGUACGGCUGGAGUGCAGGAGAGGUAAGUGGAAUUCCUAGUGUAGCGGUGAAAUGCGUAGAUAUUAGGAGGAACACCAGUGGCGAAGGCGGCUUACUGGACUGUAACUGACGUUGAGGCUCGAAAGCGUGGGGAGCAAACAGGAUUAGAUACCCUGGUAGUCCACGCCGUAAACGAUGAUUACUAGGUGU
rnacentral:rRNA from 1 species